GGAGAGGUGCCAGAGUGGACGAUUGGGACUGUCUCGAAAACAGUUGUAUCCGUAAGGGUACCGUGGGUUCGAAUCCCACCCUCUCCGCCA
rnacentral:tRNA from 1 species